CCUACGGGUGGCAGCAGUCGAGAAUCAUUCACAAUGGGGGAAACCCUGAUGGUGCGACGCCGCGUGGGGGAAUGAAGGCCUUCGGAUUGUAAACCCCUGUCAUGUGGGAGAAAAUUAAAAAGAUCGUACCACAAGACGCAGAGACGGCUAACUCGGUGCCAGCAGCCGCGGUAAUACAGAGGUCUCAAGCGUUGUUCGGAAUCACUGGGCGUAAAGCGUGCGUAGGCUGUUUCGUAAGUCGUGUGUGAAAGGCGCGGGCUCAACCCGCGGACGGCACAUGAUACUGCGAGACUAGAGUGAAGGAGGGGGAAGCGGAAUUCUCGGUGUAGCAGUGAAAUGCGUAGAUAUCGGGAGGAACACUCGUGGCGAAGGCGGGUUGCUGGACAUUAACUGACGCUGAGGCACGAAGGCGAGGGGAGCGAAAGGGAUUAGAUACCCGUGUAGUC
rnacentral:rRNA from 1 species